rnacentral:lncRNA from 1 species
GGGGGAUGCUGAUGGCACUGUCCCCUGGACCACACUUUGAACAGCCAGGAAAAUGACACAGAGGCCGUCACGUGGCAUACCUCUAAACCAAGAAGGCAACUGGUUUGCAGAAAUAAUUCAGGAAAAAUCUCCUUAAAACAAUUAUGCCAGGGAAAUUGCAAAAAAUUAAAGCAAGAACGGAGGCUUACUCAAACUCUGGUAGGUUCCAGUCCAGCAUGAAGCCCAAUGCAGGGCUUGAACUCAAGACCCUGAGAUCAAAACCUGAGUUGAGAUCCAGAGCCAGAUGCUUAACCCACUGAGCCACGCAGGGGACCCAGUGAGUAACUUUUUUGUUUUGCCUUUAUUUUUAAAGAUAAAUUUAUUUUGAGAAAGAGAAAGAGGAGGGGAGGGGCCACGGGAAAGGGAGAGACAAUAUCUCCAGUAGACUCCUCCACUGA